AUUGAACGCUGGCGGCAGGCCUAACACCUGCAAGUCGAGCGCGCGGCGGACGGGUGAGUAAUGUAUGAGGAUCUGACAGGGCGAGGGGGAUAACUACUGGAAACGAUGGAUAAUAACGCAUACUAACGGAUUCACCCAUAUGGGAUUAGCUAGUCGGUGGGGUACAGGCACACCUAGGCGACGAUCUCUAGCUGGUCUGAGAGGACGCUCAGCCACACUGGAACUGAGACACGGACCAGACUCCUACGGGAGGCAGCGGUGGGGAAUAUUGCACAAUGGGCGCAAGCCUGAUGCAGCCAUGCCGCGUGUAUGAAGAAGGCCGUAGGGUUUUAAAGUACUUUCAGCGGGGAGGCGUUACCCGCAGAAGAAGCACCGGCUAACUACGUGCCAGCAGCCGCGGUAAUAC
rnacentral:rRNA from 1 species